UACGUAGGGGGCAAGCGUUGUCCGGAAUCAUUGGGCGUAAAGAGCGUGUAGGCGGCCAGGUAGGUCGGUUGUGAAAACUGGAGGCUUAACCUUCAGACGUCGACCGAAACCAUCUGGCUAGAGUCCGGAAGAGGAGAGUGGAAUUCCUGGUGUAGCGGUGAAAUGCGCAGAUAUCAGGAAGAACACCCGUGGCUAAGGCGGCUCUCUAGUACGGUACUGACGCUGAGACGCGAAAGCGUGGGGAGCGAACAGG
rnacentral:rRNA from 1 species